GUCCACGCCGUAAACGAUGUCGACUAGCCGUUGGGAUCCUUGAGAUCUUAGUGGCGCAGCUAACGCAUUAAGUCGACCGCCUGGGGAGUACGGCCGCAAGGUUAAAACUCAAAUGAAUUGACGGGGCCCGCACAAGCGGUGGAGCAUGUGGUUUAAUUCGAAGCAACGCGAAGAACCUUACCAGGCCUUGACAUCCUAUGAACUUUCCAGAGAUGGAUUGGUGCCUUCGGGAGCAUAGAGACAGGUGCUGCAUGGCUGUCGU
rnacentral:rRNA from 1 species